CCUACGGGAGGCAGCAGUGAGGCAUAUUGGUCAAUGGACGGAAGCCUGAACCAGCCAUGCCGCGUGCAGGAAGACGGCUCUAUGAGUUGUAAACUGCUUUUGUACAAGGGUAAACCUGAAUACGUGUAUUCAGCUGAAAGUACUGUACGAAUAAGGAUCGGCUAACUCCGUGCCAGCAGCCGCGGUAAUACGGAGGAUCCAAGCGUUAUCCGGAUUUAUUGGGUUUAAAGGGUGCGUAGGCGGAUUGAUAAGUUAGAGGUGAAAUGUCCGAGCUUAACUCGGGAACUGCCUCUAAUACUGUUGAUCUAGAGAGUAGAUGCGGUAGGCGGAAUGUAUGGUGUAGCGGUGAAAUGCUUAGAGAUCAUACAGAACACCGAUUGCGAAGGCAGCUUACCAAUCUAUAUCUGACGUUGAGGCACGAAAGCGUGGGGAGCAAACAGGAUUAGAUACCCUAGUAGUC
rnacentral:rRNA from 1 species